GUCUACGGCCAUACCACCCUGAACGCGCCCGAUCUCGUCUGAUCUCGGAAGCUAAGCAGGGUCGGGCCUGGUUAGUACUUGGAUGGGAGAAACUAAUUUUCCCACUGGGCAGCUAAGGAAGCUGACACU
rnacentral:rRNA from 1 species